CCUACGGGUGGCAGCAGUGGGGAAUAUUGGGCAAUGGGCGCAACCCUGACGCAGCAACGCCGCGUGAAGGAAGAAGGCUUUCGGGUUGUAAACUUCUUUUCUGAGGGACGAAGAAAGUGACGGUACCUCAGGAAUAAGCCACGGCUAACUACGUGCCAGCAGCCGCGGUAAUACGUAGGUGGCAAGCGUUAUCCGGAUUUAGUGGGUGUAAAGGGCGUGUAGGCGGGAUAGCAAGUCAGAUGUGAAAACGCAGGGCUCAACCCUGAGCCUGCAUUUGAAACUGUUUUUCUGGAGUGCUGGAGAGGCAAUCGGAAUUCCGUGUGUAGCGGUGAAAUGCGUAGAUAUCAGGAGGAACACCAGUGGCGAAGGCGGAUUACUGGACAGUAACUGACGCUGAGGCGCGAAAGCGUGGGGAGCAAACAGGAUUAGAUACCCGGGUAGUC
rnacentral:rRNA from 1 species